AGUGUGCAGUCCUGGCUCAUGUUCAGUUGUGUGUGUAGUGGAGGAAGGAGCGAGAGCAUGGUAAACAGCAGAAGAGGGGGAUGUUAUUCUGUGAAAGAGAUGGAGAUUGGAAGACAGGAUAUGCAGUGAGAGGAUAAACAGAGGGGGCUGCUGAGCGUGUGGGCCGGGGCUUCACCUCACUGCUUCAGGAGCUGUGAAGGCAAAUCUCCUGAGGGGGAAAUGGAUCAGAGUGAUUGAUGGAUCAGACUGAAAGACACUGGCAGGAUUAGAGCGUGGAGCAGCGGCGGUGUUCUGAUCCUGCAGACUGCCGAGGAGUCAACAUUGCCAGAAGGCGCUGAGAGGCUCAUCUGUAUGGCGACGUGGUGGCGGCGUCACCCUUAAGAUGCUAAAAAGGAAACAAGAGCCUUAAGGAGUAAACACUGAGUGCUGCAGUGGAAGGGACUCUCAGAUUCUCCUUAACAUCCAGCAAAGGCAAAUGUGCACCAUGGAACACUGCCACAUAUCAAAAUCCAAACAAAUAUUUGAUUCAUUUGAUUCGUUUACUACACAAUGGACAUAAAGUGUGAUAAAGUGUCCACACUAACGCACUAUAAGCUCCUACUCUUAAAGCUGCAGUGUAACUUUUAGGGAUUUAUUUCUGUCGUGGUUGCUGUUAUUUUUCUGCCUUUGAUCUAUGUCACAUGAUAUGUUUGCUGCGUCCUUCAUCUGAAAUCAGGCUCUGUCACGCAAUACUAUCAGCCCUGACUGAGGGAGCAUCUGUGCGUAUACAGCAGCAGAGCAGUGGCAUUUAACACAUCGAACUGUCACAUCGCAUCAAAGACACAUUUAACACACAGAGCAGUACAUUGGCACGUCUUUGUGUU